rnacentral:rRNA from 1 species
CACGUAGGCGGUUUGUUAAGUCGGAUGUGAAAGCCCCGGGCUCAACCUGGGAACUGCAUUCGAUACUGUCAGACUAGAGUAUAGAGGAGGCAAGUGGAAUUCCGGGUGUAGCGGUGAAAUGCGUAGAUAUCCGGAGGAACAUCAGUGGCGAAGGCGACUUGCUGGUCUAAUACUGACGCUGAGGUGCGAAAGCGUGGGGAGCAAACG